GACGAACGCUGGCGGCGUGCUUAACACAUGCAAGUCGAACGAAGAGCGACGGAAGCUUGCUUCUAUCAAUCUUAGUGGCGAACGGGUGAGUAACGCGUAAUCAACCUGCCCUUCAGAGGGGGACAACAGUUGGAAACGACUGCUAAUACCGCAUACGAUCUAAUCUCGGCAUCGAGGAUGGAUGAAAGGUUGCCUCUACAUGUAAGCUAUCACUGAAGGAGGGGAUUGCGUCUGAUUAGCUAGUUGGGGGGGUAACGGCCCACCAAGGCGAUGAUCAGUAGCCGGUCUGAGAGGAUGAACGGCCAAAAUGGGACUGUGACACGGCCCAGACUCCUACGGGAGGCAGCAGUGGGGAAUCUUCCGCAAUGGACGAAAGUCUGACGGAGAAACGCCGCGUGAGUGAUGACGGCCUUCGGGUUGUAAAGCUCUGUUAAUCGGGACGAAAGGCCUUCUUGCGAAUAGUGAGAAGGAUUGACGGUACCGGAAUAGAAAGCCACGGCUAACUACGUG
rnacentral:rRNA from 1 species